rnacentral:rRNA from 1 species
GAUUGCAGGCUGCAACCCGCCUGCAUGAAGUCGGAAUUGCUAGUAAUCGCGGAUCAGCAUGCCGCGGUGAAUACGUUCCCGGGCCUUGUACGCACCGCCCGUCACACCAUGGGAGCCGGUAAUACCCGAAGUCAGUAGUCCAACCUCGUGAGGACGCUGCCGAAGGUAGGAUUGGCGACUGGGGUGAAGUCGUAACAAGGUAUC